rnacentral:rRNA from 1 species
UACGUAGGGGGCUAGCGUUGUCCGGAAUCAUUGGGCGUAAAGCGCGUGUAGGCGGCCCGAUAAGUCCGCUGUGAAAGUCCAGGGCUCAACCCUGGGAUGCCGGUGGAUACUGUCGGGCUCGAGUCCGGAAGAGGCGAGUGGAAUUCCUGGUGUAGCGGUGAAAUGCGCAGAUAUCAGGAGGAACACCAAUGGCGAAGGCAGCUCGCUGGGACGUGACUGACGCUGAGACGCGAAAGCGUGGGAAGCAAACAGG